AAAAGACUUAGUCCUAACCUUACUGUUGGUUGUUGCUAGAUUUAUACAUGCGAGUAUCCGCAUUCCAGUGUAGACGCCCUGGGUACCCUAAUCUUAGGUCGACAGGAGCAGGUAUCAGGCACACACCCUCUCCCCCCGUAGCCCAAAACGCCUCGCAAUUGCCACGCCCCCACGGGUAUUCAGCAGUAAUUAAUAUUAAGCAAUGAGUGAAAACUUGACUUAGUCAUAGCAAUUUAGGGUCGGUAAAUCCUGUGCCAGCAACCGCGGUCAUACAGGAGACCCAAAUUAACAUUAUAACGGCGUAAAGAGUGGUCACAUGUUAUCCAAGUAGCUAAGACUAAAAAGUAUCUAAGCUGUCAUAAGCCCAUGAUGCUCAUAAGGCCUCCCCUUAAAGAAGAUCUUAGAACAACGAUUAAUUGAAUUCCACGAAAGCCAGGGCCCAAACUGGGAUUAGAUACCCCACUAUGCCUGGCCCUAAAUCUUGAUGCUCGAUCUUACCGGAGCAUCCGCCCGAGAACUACGAGCGCAAACGCUUAAAACUCUAAGGACUUGGCGGUGUCCCAAACCCACCUAGAGGAGCCUGUUCUGUAAUCGAUGAUCCACGAUAUACCUGACCAUUCCUUGCCAAAUCAGCCUAUAUACCGCCGUCGCCAGCCCACCCAGCAUGAAGGCCCAACAGUGGACGCAAUAGCCCAACCGCGCUAAUAAGACAGGUCAAGGUAUAGCCUAUGGAAUGGAAGUAAUGGGCUACAUUUUCUAAAAUAGAACAUCACGGCAAAGGGAUAUGAAAUUGUCUCUGGAAGGCGGAUUUAGCAGUAAAGUGGGACAAUCGAGCCCUCUUUAAGCCGGCUCUGGGGCACGUACAUACCGCCCGUCACCCUCCUCAAAAGCGACCCCCCCCCCAUAAAA
rnacentral:ncRNA from 1 species